rnacentral:lncRNA from 1 species
CACUUCACAGCUCGUUUGGAGAUACCUUUCUGAAAAAAUAAUGAGCCAGGCUGCUCCUGGCAGAAGAGAAAUCUGAAUCUAGAAACACGAUGGUAUCAACUUUUGUGGAAUUUUCAACACACAAGCCAAAGGCCCUCUUGAGUCUGCAUUCUCUGAGUACUGACCUUUUUCUCCCAACCUUAAUAGGACAUUGAACAAGAAAUAUCUAAGAGUAUUUUAAUGGUCAAAGCAUCAAAAACUUCUACUUCAUUCUGCAAAGUAUGGAAGGCUGUGUUUUGGGAAUCAUGAUUUAGGAAAGAAACUGGUUUGAAGAAGAAAAAAAUCCCACAGCCAAAUAUUACAAAUUUAUUGAUGAUAUAUCAAGUGAGCACACACUACUCUCACAGAUAUAACAUGUACUUCUCUCAAAUGUUUCUGCUGAAGCUCAUAUUUAGUUUCAAAACUAUAUACUGGAAUGCUGACUCAAACUUUGUGUCCUCUUUUUUUCUGAUAGAUGUUUCUAAUUAAAGACUGCCGUUCACUUUCCCAAAGAGACAAUGACCUGAACCAGCAAGGAACAUUGAGAACAAUGCCAGCUUCCUCUUCCUAGGGUUCAUUUCCUCAAUUGAAUAAGUUCAUUCUUCUGAAAUGAUUAAAAAAUUAAACAUCGUGUUCUGUCUUUCUGUCAACCUAAGUGUCUUGUCCUACCACAGAACUCCUACAAUUACCAGGAGUCUUUCCAAGAAGGCAAUUUUUGCCUACCAGUUAAAUGCCAGACUCAGGAAAGAUCUUUGUAUACAAUCUGUCUGAUCUACCUCAUCACCUGAGAGGAUAAACAGGAUUUACCUUGGUCUGUAGGCAUUAACUCUGUGAGCUUUAAAAUCCAACUUGUUCUCAGAGUGAUUGCCUGCCCAACUGUACUGCAUUACACCGAGUUCCUCCAAAAUGCUGAGACUCCUGAGCAGCCUGACAAAUAGAACUUUUUCAGGGUUCUGUAGAAGGUAGGGGGUUUUUUUUGUUUGUUUUUUUUUGGGUUUUUUUUUUUUUUUUUUUUUUUUUAUUUUUAUUCUAUGUUUCUUUGUUUGUUUGGAGUUUUAUCAUGGAUAAAACAAAAAUUAUUCCCCCCACAUUUCUGCUCAGCAAAAUUGUUAUGGAAUCAUU